UUCUCUGGCGGCUGCGACGGGAGGCCCUUUCCACAGCCUGGGAGGCCAGAAGAGCAGUCUGCGGCUGCGCGGAGGACGGGUGCGUGGAGCGGAAGGCGGGAGUGCACGGAGCAGAAAGCCGGGCCGCUGGAGGCUUUGCACCCAGCCCCUGGCCCGCAGGACUCCUCGGAGAACAGCAAAGCAGGGUGGUGCUGUGAAGCCCGGCCGCGGGGUUCAGAGAGCCAAGUGAGACUGAUGCUUUCAUCUUUGGAACAAGACUGUCCAAUAAGGAAGGAGGACAUUAGCCACCUCUCAUUCUGUAUAACUGGCCGUGGAUCCUACUCGAAGGGGGAAGAAUUUAAAGUUUGUUUUGAUCAAAACUGCUACUUCCUUUAGUAGUGGGACUCCAGGAGGCCCUCGGAAUAGGAAAAAUUUAUAGGAAGUUUCUGCAACAGAAGAAAAAAGAGAAAAGAAAACGGGCAUUCUGG
rnacentral:lncRNA from 1 species